rnacentral:rRNA from 1 species
CCGCUGACGAGCGGCGGACGGGUGAGUAAUGCAUAGGAAACUGCCCAGUAGUGGGGGAUAGCCCGGGGAAACCCGGAUUAAUACCGCAUACGCCCUUUGGGGGAAAGCAGGGGAUCUUCGGACCUUGCGCUAUUGGAUGUGCCUAUGUCGGAUUAGCUAGUUGGUGGGGUAAGAGCCUACCAAGGCGACGAUCCGUAGCUGGUCUGAGAGGAUGAUCAGCCACAUCGGGACUGAGACACGGCCCGAACUCCUACGGGAGGCAGCAGUGGGGAAUAUUGGACAAUGGGGGCAACCCUGAUCCAGCCAUGCCGCGUGUGUGAAGAAGGCUUUCGGGUUGUAAAGCACUUUCAGUGAGGAGGAAAACCUUACGACUAAUACUCGUGAGGCUUGACGUUACUCACAGAAGAAGCACCGGCUAACUCCGUGCCAGCAGCCGCGGUAAUACGGAGGGUGCAAGCGUUAAUCGGAAUUACUGGGCGUAAAGCGCGCGUAGGUGGUUUGAUAAGCGAGAUGUGAAAGCCCCGGGCUCAACCUGGGAACGGCAUUUCGAACUGUCAGGCUAGAGUAUGGUAGAGGAGUGUGGAAUUUCCUGUGUAGCG